rnacentral:rRNA from 1 species
AGAGUUUGAUUCUGGCUCAGGAUGAACGCUAGCUACAGGCUAACACAUGCAAGUCGAGGGGCAGCGAGAGGAAGCUUGCUUCCUGUCGGCGACCGGCGCACGGGUGAGUAACGCGUAUCCAACCUUCCCUAUAGUAGGGGAUAGCCCGGUGAAAGUCGGAUUAAUACCCUAUGUUUUCCGAUGAGGACAUCUGAGCUGGAACAAAGGUUUACCGCUAUAGGAUGGGGAUGCGUCUGAUUAGCUUGUCGGCGGGGUAACGGCCCACCGAGGCUACGAUCAGUAGGGGUUCUGAGAGGAAGGUCCCCCACAUUGGUACUGAGGCACGGACCAAACUCCUACGGGAGGCAGCAGUGAGGAAUAUUGGUCAAUGGGCGCGAGCCUGAACCAGCCAAGUAGCGUGCAGGAAUGACUGCCCUAUGGGUUGUAAACUGCUUUUAUGCGGGAAUAAAGUCAGGUACGCGUACCUGUUUGUAUGUACCGCAUGAAUAAGGACCGGCUAAUUCCGUGCCAGCAGCAGC